GACGAACGCUGGCAGCGUGCUUAACACAUGCAAGUCGAGCGGUAAGGCCCUUUCGGGGGUACACGAGCGGCGAACGGGUGAGUAACACGUGGGUGACCUGCCCUCAGCUCUGGGAUAAGCCUGGGAAACCGGGUCUAAUACCGGAUAUGACUCCAUGACGCAUGUUGUGGGGUGGAAAGCCUUGUGCGGCUGAGGAUGGGCCCGCGGCCUAUCAGCUUGUUGGUGGGGUGANGGCCCUACCAAGGCGACGACGGGUAGCCGGCCUGAGAGGGCGACCGGCCACACUGGGACUGAGACACGGCCCAGACUCCUACGGGAGGCAGCAGUGGGGAAUCUUGCGCAAUGGGCGAAAGCCUGACGCAGCGACGCCGCGUGAGGGAUGACGGCCU
rnacentral:rRNA from 1 species